CGCUGGAUCGUGGAGGAGCGGGCGGACGCCACCAACGUCAACAACUGGCACUGGACGGAGAGAGAUGCUUCAAAUUGGUCCACGGAUAAGCUGAAAACACUGUUCCUGGCAGUGCAGGUUCAAAAUGAAGAAGGCAAGUGUGAGGUGACGGAAGUGAGUAAGCUUGAUGGAGAGGCAUCCAUUAACAAUCGCAAAGGGAAACUUAUCUUCUUUUAUGAAUGGAGCGUCAAACUAAACUGGACAGGUACUUCUAAGUCAGGAGUACAGUACAAAGGACAUGUGGAGAUCCCCAAUUUGUCUGAUGAAAACAGCGUGGAUGAAGUGGAGAUUAGUGUGAGCCUUGCCAAAGAUGAGCCUGACACAAAUCUCGUGGCCUUAAUGAAGGAAGAAGGGGUGAAACUUCUAAGAGAAGCAAUGGGAAUUUACAUCAGCACCCUCAAAACAGGUAUCCCUUGAGUAGUUCUGUAUGCCUUAAGGAGGUAGUUUCCACCUGUUAGACUCUGAUUAAGGGCCUGGACAGUCCUUUCUUUGGCAAAUGGGUAAAGAUUUGGGGGGAGGGGGCUUAUUUCAUCUUAAAGUCAGUCCAUAAGCUCAGAGUAAGGGAAAGAUCUGGAGCUGUGUUGUCUAAUAUUGAUGGUUGAGCAUUUUAGAUGUGGCUAGACCAAACUGAGAUGUGCUGUGAGGGCCCGGCGCGGUGGCUCACACUUGUAAUCCCAGCACUGUUGGAGGCUGAGGUGGGCUGAUUGCCUGAGCUCAGGAAUUUGAGACCAGCCUGGGCAACAUGGCG
rnacentral:sRNA from 1 species